rnacentral:misc_RNA from 1 species
ACGUAUCCACGUAUAAACCAUUGUGAACUGUUCUAUUAACCUUUACCACUUUGAUAUCAAGAGAGUGCGAACUAGACAUCCAAAACAGCAAUAGUAAUUGAGCUGUCGUCCAGUGCGCCGCAGUCGAUGUUUCUCUUCGGAGUGCGCGACUACGCUUGCAAAGUCGUAAAGUGUAUUCAAUUACUACUUAUUAACCAUUAUAACCCAAUCUUUAUAACUUUAUGAACUAACUUUAUUUUAUACUCUUCGGAGAUAAAAUUCAUUACGAAACAAAGAACAACUCUUAGCAACGGAUAUCUUGGUUCU